rnacentral:rRNA from 1 species
GAUGAGCGCUGGCGGCGUGCCUAAUACAUGCAAGUCGAGCGAACGGACGAGAAGCUUGCUUCUCUGAUGUUAGCGGCUGACGGGUGAGUAACACGUGGAUCACCAACUUAUAAGACUGGGAUAACUUCGGGAAACCGGAUCUAAUACCGGAUAAUAUUUUGAACCGCAUGGUUCAAAAGUGAAAGACGGUUUUGCUGUCACUUAUAGAUGGAUCCGCGCUGCAUUAGCUAGUUGGUAAGGUAACGGCUUACCAAGGCAACGAUGCAUAGCCGACCUGAGAGGGUGAUCGGCCACACUGGAACUGAGACACGGUCCAGACUCCUACGGGAGGCAGCAGUAGGGAAUCUUCCGCAAUGGGCGAAAGCCUGACGGAGCAACGCCGCGUGAGUGAUGAAGGUCUUCGGAUCGUAAAACUCUGUUAUUAGGGAAGAACAUAUGUGUAAGUAACUGUGCACAUCUUGACGGUACCUAAUCAGAAAGCCACGGCUAACUACGUG